rnacentral:rRNA from 1 species
AACGAACGCUGGCGGCAGGCCUAACACAUGCAAGUCGAACGGGACCUUCGGGUCUAGUGGCGGACGGGUGAGUAACGCGUGGGAACGUGCCCUUUGGUUCGGAAUAGCCUCGGGAAACUGGGAGUAAUACCGGAUACGGUCGGAAGACGAAAGAUUUAUCGCCGAAGGAUCGGCCCGCGUUGGAUUAGGUAGUUGGUGGGGUAAAGGCCUACCAAGCCGACGAUCCAUAGCUGGUUUGAGAGGAUGAUCAGCCACACUGGGACUGAGACACGGCCCAGACUCCUACGGGAGGCAGCAGUGGGGAAUCUUAGACAAUGGGGGAAAGCCUGAUCCAGCAAUGCCGCGUGAGUGAUGAAGGCCUUAGGGUUGUAAAGCUCUUUUACCCGAGAUGAUAAUGACAGUAUCGGGAGAAUAAGCUCCGGCUAACUCCGUGCCAGCAGCCGCGGU